AGGCAGCAGUGGGGAAUAUUGCGCAAUGGGCGAAAGCCUGACGCAGCGACGCCGCGUGAGGGAUGAAGGCCUUCGGGUUGUAAACCUCUUUCAGCAGGGAAGAAGCGAAAGUGACGGUACCUGCAGAAGAAGCACCGGCUAACUACGUGCCAGCAGCCGCGGUAAUACGUAGGGUGCAAGCGUUGUCCGGAAUUAUUGGGCGUAAAGAGCUCGUAGGCGGUCUGUCGCGUCGGAUGUGAAAAUCCAGGGCUUAACCCUGGACCUGCAUUCGAUACGGGCAGACUAGAGUUCGGUAGGGGAGACUGGAAUUCCUGGUGUAGCGGUGAAAUGCGCAGAUAUCAGGAGGAACACCGGUGGCGAAGGCGGGUCUCUGGGCCGAUACUGACGCUGAGGAGCGAAAGCGUGGGGAGCAAACAGGAUUAGAUACCCUGGUAG
rnacentral:rRNA from 1 species